rnacentral:rRNA from 1 species
AACGAACGCUGGCGGCAGGCUUAACACAUGCAAGUCGAACGAGCUGGGGCCUUGGUCCCCGAUGCCAGUGGCGCACGGGUGAGUAACCCGUGGGAAUAUGCCCUUUAGUUCGGGAUAACCAAGGGAAACUUUGGCUAAUACCGUAUACGCCCCUCGGGGGAAAGAUUUAUCGUUAAAGGAUUAGCCCGCGUCUGAUUAGGUAGUUGGUGAGGUAAUGGCUUACCAAGUCGACGAUCAGUAGCUGGUUUGAGAGGAUGAUCAGCCACACUGGGACUGAGACACGGCCCAGACUCCUACGGGAGGCAGCAGUGGGGAAUAUUGGACAAUGGGGGCAACCCUGAUCAAGCCAUGCCGCGUGAGUGAAGAAGGCCUUCGGGUUGUAAAGCUCUUUCGACGGGGACGAUGAUGACGGUACCCGUAUAAGAAGCCCCGGCAAACUUCGUG